rnacentral:lncRNA from 1 species
AUUUUAUAGUUACAAAACUCUAAUAAAACAAAUAUAAACAUUAUUAGUAAAAUAUGUUUUUUAUUUAAAAAUACAAAUUAUGAAAGAAACUACAAUUAGUUCUUAAUAAAAAAAUCAUGCUGCCAACUGUAUCAACAGAUUCGUCAUUCACCCUUAGAAGACACAUAUAGGAAUAAUUAAAUACUUUGGCAAAAAAAAAAAACAUUUUUGUGAUGAAGAUUCUUAGAUGAUGAUCGUUUUCUAUACAAACAUGCGGCACCUCUUCACCAUUGUUUUAAGAGUCAUUCUUGGGUUCACCCCCUAGGGUGAACCUCUAGGUUCACCAACCAAUAGGAUUUCAUUAUUUCAAAUUCGAUAUCUUUUAAAAAAGGAAACAAAAUAUUCUCAAAUUAUAUUAUGUUUUUAAAAUAAAUAAGUAAAAAAAGAUAAUAGUUACAGAAAAAAGAAUUAAAAAAAAUAUUUUUAAUGUUCUCAACAAAACACUAAGCCCUAAAUCCUAAUCCCUAAACCCUAAAUCCUAAGCCCUAAACCUUUGGAUAAACCCUAAACCCUUAGGUAAACCCUAAACCCUUGGGUAAACCCUAAACCCUUGGAUAAAUCCUAAACUCUAAAUAAAAAACACUAAAACCCUAAACCCUAAAC